rnacentral:lncRNA from 1 species
UGCAAGACAUGGGAUUCAUGGGUUAUAUAGAUUGUAUAGUAUCAACGUUGCUGGAGAUUUACUAAGUGUUGGUGAUAAUACCAUAUAUUUAACUCAAUCGAGAAGUGUAGGACCUUUUCAAGGUGUUAUGUAUGAUUAUAUUCGUCUUGAAAGUCCUUUUACAACUUGAAAAAGGAAAUAGGAUAGAAUGGAAAUAAUUGACUGUGGAGGGGAUUUAUUUUUUUUUUUCUAGAGUUGUUUUUUAUUCAUUUGUAUGUAAUGUAAUAUAUAAAGGGUGUGAAUAUUAAUAAAACCAAAUGUAUUAAUGUAUAUAUGAUUAAUGCAUUUCUAACAUAUAGAAGAAGACAUGAUGUUGCCAAAAAUAAAAAGAAGAAGAAAUGAUAGGACUGCUAGUAGUACUCAUUGUACUAUUUCUAACCCAUGCUCUUUUGUUCCCAUUGCCUUUUUAGCCAUGUAAGAACCAAGAGAAGCAACUACUAGUAGCAAUAAUGAAACAAUGGCAAUGAUGAGGAUAGUAAUGAGCAAAAGCUUAAGGUAUGUUACAUAAACCAUCGAUGUAAUCAAGCAAAUCACACAGAGAUUAGAGAGAUAUUUAAAAGCUAUUUCUCUUAUCUUGUCCACAUCCUCUUCUUGGGGUCUCUCUCUUUCCCAACCACAGCUUGUUGUUGUUCUCUGCUAACAACUCUCUUCUGAGCCACAGGGACUUGGUUCGACGAACUGACUGGUCUCGUUGGUCUGGUUAAUCUGGCACCAACUUUUGGUGGGUCUGAUUUCCUGAUCCGUUUCUCCUUCAUCUGAGGUUCAUCACCACCGUUGUUCUCUGUUUCACCGCUUCUCGAGACCCUCUUCUUUCUAGUCGCUUCAUUGAGGUUCAAAGAAUCGUUUCUUCGAGCAGCACUAGCCUUGAGCCGGUUUGAUGUUCUCAAGAUGUUGUUGUUAUUGUUGUUGGAUUCCGCAUUCUCAUUGCCGAAGUUAUCUUCUUUGAAACAAGUCUUCACUUCGUUAGGAGUAGCACUCGCAACAUCAGGGAACUCUCUCGUUGCUGCCAUUUGCUGUACGUGCAGCUCUUGCUCCUUUAGCCUCACUUCAAGCUCUUUAAUCUGCAAAAAUCAAAAACCAAAGUCUUUUCACAUAUCCGGGUGACUUGAUAAACUCGAAGAUCCUUGAGACAAUCCAUGAAACCAACCUUCUGUCGUAGUAAAACUGCUUCUUGAGUUUGCUCGUCUUUUUGUUUUCUCUCCAACUCUUUAAUCUGAAACACCAUAUCGAAUCGAAGGCCGAGAUGUUGAGACAUUUAUUUAAAAUAAAAAGAUUGUAAAGUUUUGAGAAUGAAUCAGUGCGCCUUCCUAACCUUAUGUUGCCAUACAAGAGCGUUGCUUUCAGAAUCUUUCAACUUAUUCUCAUAAUCCUUAGCCUUCUGUUGCAACACAAGGGAGUUUCCUUCAGAGUCUUUCAACUUAGUCUCAAGAUCCUUAACCUGCAAGCAUCAUUUAAGAUGUUUGGACUGUCUAUAACAAUCAUAAUGAGCUUUAUGUAACAAUCAACAUUGAUAUAAGUAAACCUUCUGUUGGUAAGCUGCAGAGUCUGAUUGGUGUCUCUCCCGAAGCUUACACUCUAGCUCCUUGACCUUUAAAUGAGAAGACGGUUUGUUAGUCAUAAAAUGGUAAGAAAAUCAAUAAUAUCAUCAAGUGGAAGAAAAUAAACCUUCUGCUGGAGAUUGGUACAAGUCUCAUCUCUGCUUUUUAGUUUUUCUUGAAGCUGUGCGUUUUGCUUUUCCGAUUGGUUAUGCAGUGACUCAAGCUGGCUUUCAAGCUCUUUGUUCUUUUCCUGGAGACUUCGGUAUGAAUGGUCUCUUCCUUUAUUCUUACCUUCCAGGUUCUGUAUGUUCUCUUCCAGCUUCUUUAUCAAUUCCUCUUUAGAUCGGCUUUCAUGUCUUGCUUUCUCCACCUUUAAAAGAUUUACAUUGAGCAAUAAGAGAAAGCUGUGUGACGCAACCCAGGAAGAUCAAAACAAAAGCCUUUCAGAAGUCAUACCAUUGCUUUCAUCUUCUGAAUCUCACCGGUAUCAACUUGCUUCCUCGCAGGACCCAACUCAACUCCUCUCACACGCGUUGCAAAGUUUAGUGAACUUAAAGUCUCACUCACAUCGUGCUCAGAAGGACUGAUUUGCACAAACAUCAGCGUCUUGGAGUCACCUCCUGCAUCAUUUGCACAUUCACACAAGUUUUUAAGCUCAGUGUAACCACAGAUUGAUCCUUAUGAAAAGGUAAAUAACGAUUCUUACCCAAUGAAUCUUGUAGUAAGUGAGUUAAUUUCGAGUUUCUGAAAGUGAACAAAUGGAAAAGUGUUAACGCAGACAGUAUUAUUAAGCUCAUAACAGAGACGGAGAGAGAUAUAGACUAACCGGUAUGGAAUGUGACUGCUCUUUGUAGCCAAUGCAUAAAUCACAUCCCCAAGAGCUGAUAGCGAUCUAUUGAUGUUCUGUGCUUCCUUCAGACGCUCACCUUGCACGUCAGUCUUUGCCAACCUCUCACUUCCUGCUAAAUCAACAAGCCAAAGCGUGCUUUUUGUGCAGUCACCAUUCAUCAGGUUCUUCGCUUUCACCAUUAUAGAGAGCAUGCUGCGAAGAAAACUUAAUAUAUCAAACAACCCUCAUAGUGAAAUAUAAGAUGAGGGAAAGCCAAACAUUCAAAAAACAUAGUGAGAGGGGGAUAAAUCCAAAUAUACCAGUGCGAGCGGCUACUAUGUUCAUUCACAUUGUUGGAUCCAACAGCUCUUGCAUUGCUCCCAGCUUGAAGCACAUUCCACACUUCAUUUAUAUUUUCCACUUUUGCUUCAACUAACCCAGGAACAUGAUGGGAUCCAUCAAAUGAUUGUUUGAUCUCCAACCUGAGUAACCAUAUCAAUAAAUAUUGCGAUCAAGCUCUGUAAAAAGUCUAUGUUUUAGUUGUGUGUUUAAAGUAGAGAUUUUUACUUCUUUGAAGCUGGUGAUGUUGCCAAUAAGUCUCUUAUCUGUUCGUUGUAGACCUCAAGGACACUAACAGAAAUAUUAUAUGAAAUUGUCUCUCGCCUUUCGUUAGCAAUUUCAAACAACUGCUCAACGGUUCUAUAGUUGACACCCCUGUUCUGUGGGGUACCUUCCAUUGUAAACGUCUUCCCUGUUCCUGUUUGCCCGUAUGCAAAGAUACACACAUUGUAGCCGUCUAGCACAUUUGUUGGUUUGGCACCAUGUGGUGAAGCCGGUUCAUGGCAAACCGAAUCAAAGGUAUAAUAAUAAUAGUAGAUAUACUUCAUACAAAUGUAGAAAUGCUAUAAUCUAUAAUAAUUUUUAUUUAUUUGUGACAAAAGGGGUAUCAGUUUUGGACGAAAGCUGACAGAAAAGGAAGAUUCAUAAUAGAGAAUGUGAGGGCAGGCAAUUAUAGUCUCUACGCAUGGGGUUAUGGUUUUAUCGGUGACUAUAAAUAUGAACAAAACAUUACCAUCACUCCAGGUACCAUACUACCAUAGUGACAUAACGUAGAUGCAGAAAAAAAAAUCGUGGUUUCGUAGUUUUAAGCCCCCACUAAAAGGCCCAUUCUAUUCAUCUUGGUGUGCAGGUAGUCAGAUGAAUGUAGGGCCUAUAGUGUAUGAGCCACCUAGAAACGGUCCAACGUUGUGGGAAAUAGGUGUACCGGACCGAACAGCCGGAGAGUUCUAUAUACCGGAUCCUUAUCCUACACUUAUGAAUAAGCUUUAUGUUAACCCACUUCAAGACAGGUUAGUACCAUAAUCUUAAGUACUCUGAUCUAUAAAUAUUUUUACUACCUAUGAGUAGAUAUCAUCAUUUCCAAGUUUUAGACAUUUUUUGUUGUUUAUGAAUAUAAAGAACAUAAUUUGAACUGAAUUUUAAAAUGCAGAUUUAGACAAUAUGGAUUAUGGGAUCGUUACGCAGAUUUAUACCCUCAAAACGAUCUUGUCUACACAGUCGGUGUUAGUGAUUAUAAAAGAGAUUGGUUCUUUGCACAUGUAACCAGGUACCUACAUAUAAUUAAGUUCUAUCCCAAUUCCUAAAUGACAAAUCAUCUAUCUAAUCAAAUUCUUUCUUAUAUUAAACCAAAUUUUUUUUUUUGCUUCUUAUAAUAAUAAUAUAGAAAUGCUGGAAAUAAUACAUACGAUUCAACGACAUGGCAAAUAAUAUUUAACCUGGAAAACGUGAACCGUGUCGGUCUCUACACGCUCAGAAUAGCUCUAGCCUCAGCUGCUGAUUCCGAGUUACAAGUUCGGGUCAACAAUCCGAAAUCCGAUCAUAUUUUCACGACCGGUUUAAUCGGAAAAGACAAUGCCAUUGCAAGACAUGGGAUUCAUGGGUUAUAUAGAUUGUAUAGUAUCAACGUUGCCGGAGAUUUACUAAGUGUUGGUGAUAAUACCAUAUAUUUAACUCAAUCGAGAAGUGUAGGACCGUUUCAAGGUGUUAUGUAUGAUUAUAUUCGUCUUGAAAGUCCUUUUACAACUUGAAUAAGUAAUAGGAUUUAUAGUGGAAAUAAUUUACCGUGGAGGGUAUUUAUAUUUUAUUUUCUA